CCUACGGGCGGCAGCAGUGGGGAAUAUUGGGCAAUGGGCGCAAGCCUGACCCAGCAACGCCGCGUGAAGGAAGAAGGCUUUCGGGUCGUAAACCUCUUUUCUCAGGGACGAAGCAAGUGACGGUACCUGAGGAAUAAGCCACGGCUAACUACGUGCCAGCCGCCGCGGUAAUACGUAGGUGGCAAGCGUUGUCCGGAUUUACUGGGUGUAAAGGGGGUGUAGCUGGGCUGACAAGUCAGAUGUGAAAUGCGGGGGCUCAACCCCCGAACUGCAUUUGAAACUGUUGGUCUGGAGUAUCGGAGAGGCAGGCGGAAUUCCUGGUGUAGCGGUGAAAUGCGUAGAUAUUAGGAGGAACACCAGUGGCGAAGGCGGCCUGCUGGACGGCAACUGACGGUGAGGCGCGAAGGCGUGGGGAGCAAACAGGAUUAGAUACCCUAGUAGUC
rnacentral:rRNA from 1 species